UUUUCCGGUUGAUCCUGCCGGACCCCACUGCUAUCGAGAUGGGACUAAGGUAUGCUAGUCGAACGAACUGAACUAUGUCAGUUAGUGGCACACUGCUCAGUAACACGUAGCUAACCUACCCUUAGGACGUGGAUACCCCCGAGAAAUUGGGGUUAAUCCGCGAUAGGUGUAAUGUCCUGGAAUGGUAUUACGCCCAAAGGUAAUUCAUACAUGUUUGAAUUACGCCUAAGGAUGGGGCUGCGGCCGAUCAGGCAGUUGGUGAGGUAAUGGCUCACCAAACCUUUGACCGGUACGGGCCAUGAGAGUGGUAGCCCGGAGAUGGACACUGAGACAAGGGUCCAGGCCCUAAGGGGCGCAGCAACCGCGAAACCUCCACAAUGCACUCACGUGCGAUGGGGCUAUCUCGAGUGCCACCUGAUGAAGGUGGCUUUUCCUUGGUCUUCAAAGCCUUGGGAAUAAGAGGGGGGCAAGACUGGUGUCAGCCGCCGCGGUAACACCAGCCCCUCGAGUGGUGGGGAUGAUUAUUGGGCCUAAAGCGUCCGUAGCCGGCCGUGUAAGUCUUCCGUUAAAUCCAGCGUCUCAAGCGUUGGACUGCGGGAGAUACUGUACGGCUAGAGAGUGGGAGAGGUUAGCGGUAUUCUGGGGGUAGGGGCGAAAUCCUUUGAUCCCCGGAGGACCACCAGUGGCGAAGGCUGCUGACUAGAACACGUCUGACGGUCAGGGACGAAAGCUGGGGUAGCGAACCGGAUUAGAUACCCGGGUAGUCCCAGCCGUAAACGAUGCAUGCUAGGUGUUGGGUUGGCCACGCGCCACCCCAGUGCCGCAGGGAAGCCGUUAAGCAUGCCGCCUGGGAAGUACGAUCGCAAGGUUGAAACUUAAAGGAAUUGGCGGGGGAGCACCACCAGGCGUGAAGCCUACGGUUUAAUUGGAUUCAACGCCGGGA
rnacentral:rRNA from 1 species